GUGCUUGUUUUGGCAGCACAUAUACUAAAAUCAGAAUGAUACUGAGAAGAUUAGCAUGGCCCACACACAAGGAUGACAUACAAAUUUGAUUUUAUAAUUUUAU
ensembl:snRNA U6 U6 spliceosomal RNA